AUUGUUUGCGUCUUCACUCUUCUUAAACAUUGCCUGUGUUUUCCAGCCUGUUUUCAGUUUUCAGAGUACAGAGCAUUGAUGGCCUCAAGAUCUCAACCCUCUUAUUCGCUUGAAACACGAGAAAGUAGCACCUUCUACUGACUUCUACUUAAUUCUGAUUGACCAGGGUGUACAGAGCUCAGAGAAGAAGCACAGUGGCUGGGAAACCUCGAAAACCAAGUCUGCAGUUUGGGGCGCCAGGACAGCAUUGUGGGGAAAGAGAGGUUAUCAGGUGACCAUAGUUGAGGCGGGAGCUGUUCAAAGUCGGGGCCCGGGGUUGACCACUCCUCUGUGCAUCAGUUGGGGACUGCACCGCUGACUUGUCUCCAUUCAAGAUGAUCUCCUGCUGGCCCCACUAUGGACUGG